rnacentral:rRNA from 1 species
CCUACGGGUGGCAGCAGUGGGGAAUAUUGCACAAUGGGGGAAACCCUGAUGCAGCGACGCCGCGUGAGUGAAGAAGUAAUUCGUUAUGUAAAGCUCUAUCAGCAGGGAGGAAAAUGACGGUACCUGAGUAAGAAGCCCCGGCUAACUACGGGCCAGCAGCCGAGGUAAUACGUAGGGGGCAGGCGUUAUCCGGAUUUACUGGGGGUAAAGGGAGCGUAGCCGGCUGUGCAAGUCUGGAGGGAAAGGCGGGGGCUCAACCCCGGGACUGCACUGGAAACUGGACGGCUGGAGUGCAGGGGAGGUAAGUGGAAUUCGUAGUGUAGCGGUGAAAUGCGUAGAUAUUAGGAGGAACACCAGUGGCGAAGGCGGCUUACUGGACUGUAACUGACGUUGAGGCUCGAAAGUGUGGGGAGCAAACAGGAUUAGAUACCCUUGUAGUC